rnacentral:lncRNA from 1 species
AUCAUAUGUUAAGGGGAGAAAAUUGUUUAAACGAAAAAUACAUUAAAAAAGAAUGCUCAACAUUGAUAGGAUAGAUAAUUCAGGGGGAGCUAGGAGUAAUGGAAAGUAUACCCAAAACCUUGAAAUCAAUUUUCUAAAAUCUUCCACUCUGAUACAAUAUCAAUCUUAGCAUAUCGUUUCAUUUGCUCUUAUACAUGCUCACAUCUAUUCAAGUACACUAUAUCAUGCAUUUACAUACAUAUUUUUUAUAUACAUAUAAGCACUGU